rnacentral:rRNA from 1 species
GACGAACGCUGGCGGCGUGCUUCAUACAUGCCAGUCGAACGAGAAGCUGACUUCGGUCAGUGGAAAGUGGCGGACGGGUGAGUAAUAUGUAGGAAAUCUGCCUUUAGGAGGGGGACAACAGAGGGAAACUUCUGCUAAUACCCCAUAUGAGCGUAGCUGAAAUGCUAUUCUUGAAAACUCCGGUGCCUAAAGAUGAGCCUGCAUCUGAUUAGCUAGUUGGUAGUGUAAUGGACUACCAAGGCGACGAUCAGUAGCUGGUUUGAGAGGAUGAUCAGCCACAAUCGGAACGUGGCACGAUCCAGAGACCUGCGGGAGCAAGCAGUAGGGGAUAAUUAUCAAGCGGCGAAGGUCGGACGCAGCUACGAGGCGUGAACAAUUACGCCGUUCGGGAUGGAAAAUGCACUCCGUGCGGACGAAACUCAACGGUAGCAAAAGAGGAAGCACCGGCUAGCUCCGUG